UACCAGCACCCCGAGUGGUCGGGACGAUUAUUGGGCCUAAAGCAUCCGUAGCCGGUCAUGCAAGUCUUCCGUUAAAUCCAGCCGCUCAACGGUUGGGCUGCGGAGGAUACUACGUGGCUAGGAGGCGGGAGAGGCAAGCGGUACUCAGUGGGUAGGGGUAAAAUCCUUUGAUCCAUUGAAGACCACCAGUGGCGAAGGCGGCUUGUCAGAACGCGCUCGACGGUGAGGGAUGAAAGCUGGGGGAGCAAACCGG
rnacentral:rRNA from 1 species